GUGAGCCCACACUGAUUGACCUAUGGGUACUUUUCUUUUAAUGGGACAGCUCUGAAAAGAAACCUUCAUUAGACAUCAGUCUCUUCAAAUGUCAGAUGCCAAGGAAUAAGGAAUCAUAGUUUUUGCUUAGACUGACUUGCCAUUUGAGGCCAACUGCUGGGAUCUGACUCUCCCUGAGAACACAAAUCAAUAGUCAGCACAGAAAUUGGAGUCAGAAGAGCUGGUUGAAGGUGGCCUCUUACUAUCUGCUUUCAAUCGAAUCUUGUUGAAUCUGUGGAUGUGGAACCCGCAGAUAUGGAGGGCCAACUGUAUGCUCGUUCUGACAUCUGCUAGAGCCCAGAGAUCCUCUCCAUCUGUGAAGUGAGGAAGAAAGAGAGAAAAUGUAGAGGACGGCAUAGAAUAGUUUGGGGACAUACCCCUGGCCAGAGCUGGUCAUAUGGUCCACCUAGAUACAAAAGGAACUGAUGGGCCAUUUCCUUAGGUUACAAGGGACUCCAGGAGGUUAUUAUCAUUUCACAAAACCCCUCCCCAGGACCCCAUUUCACAAUCAGAGGUGAGUGUUGCUUUUUUUUUUUCCCUUCCUCCAUUCAUCCCAUCUGAUUAUGACCCUUCUCCAUGUUGUGGAAUGUGUAUCAUUUUGGGGGUGUAAGGAAGUAAGCCAUGAUGAGAUUUUUAAAAAGGUCAUACAAUGU
ensembl:lncRNA